rnacentral:rRNA from 1 species
GACAGGUGCUGCAUGGCUGUCGUCAGCUCGUGUCGUGAGAUGUGGUUAAGUCCCGCAACGAGCGCAACCCUUGCCUUUAGUUGCCAGCAGUUCGGCUGGGCACUCUAAAGGGACUGCCGGUGUUAAACCGGAGGAAGGUGGGGAUGACGUCAAGUCCUCAUGGCCUUUAUGACCAGGGCUACACACGUACUACAAUGGCCGAUACAAAGGGCAGCGACAUUGCGAAAUGGAGCCAAUCCCAUAAAUUCGGUCUCAGUCCGGAUUGGAGUCUGCAACUCGACUCCAUGAAGUUGGAAUCGCUAGUAAUCGUGGAUCAGCAUGCCACGGUGAAUACGUUCCCGGGCCUU